CUUUUUCCUUUAUUAAACUCAUGUUUUUUUUUAAGUUGAUUUUAUAUUCUUGAUGUUGGGUAAUCGUGUGUUUGCAAUUGAAUUGAUUUACAUAAAGCUUAGGAACUCUAUUUGCAAUGUAUACAUAAUCGACUUGCAAUUCUUUAUAUGCUUGAUGAAUUAAAAAAAAAAACAUAUUUGCAGUAGAUUUAUUUUUCAUUUAUUUACAUAUACUAAAAAUGAUCAUAAACUAUUUAAUAUUAGUUUUUAGUACAAACGUUUUUUUAAUGGGAGGCUCUGCCCUGCUGCUUAUUGGAAUCAAAAUAAAUCAAAUGCAAGCUUUAUGUGAGUGCACGGGUCGAGUUUUUGUCUUUCUUUGAAGUAAAGAAGAAACAAACGACAUGAUUUUAGUUAUUUGUAGUAAUGAAUUUGUUUAUAGAAUAUACUUUUGAUUUUGAAAUUGGAUGUAUUUCACGUCAUUAAAUUUGCUAGUUUUGGUUAUUUGCAGUAAGAAUAAAUAAUGACAUACCAAUAGUUUUCGUUAUUUGUAACUACUAAUUAUUUAUAAAUAUUAUUUGAUUAAAUUGACAAGUGAAACGAAUACUCAUUCAUGUGGACGCAUUUAGCUACUGAUCUUAACUAAUGUAGCGAUUCUUUACAAUAAGGUAUCUCAUUUUGCCCGCUAAGCGUUUGCAAAAAUGCUUGAAUCAAAUAUUUAAGUUAUUUUAACGUACCUGUUUAUUUAGCUAAAGAUUUGGUUUGAAUGUAGUAUUGGAGAAUUCUAUUUUCACUUUCUAAUGUUUAUUUAUGUUGUUAUUUAUAAAAAGUAGAUGAUUAUGAUGGACUUUAUAGUUUUAUUCUUUCAGAAUGCACUAAAUUUAGAUAUGUAGAUGGAUUUUUACCCAUAUAUCUAGCUUCGUGAGCAAUUAUGCUAGAAUGUAAUCUUGAAUUUCAAUUAUGCCAGAAUUGAAUCUUGAAUCAAAAGGUCAUAUCAUCAAUUUUUUGAUUGUUGGUGUAACACCCAGAUUCACCAGGUAAAUUCUUGCAAUUAUUUCAUUUGAUUUUGGACCAGACGAGAGUAUGACGACGUACUCAAGGUACGCACGGUGUAUUCCCUCUGCAUGUGUGGAUCGGGAUAACCCCUACGUAUGUUAGGUGUACCCAUGCAUACGCAUGGAGUACGCAAGCCAGGGGCAUACCCUAAUUUGUAGGGUUUGCACCCUAUUUAAGCUCAUUAAUUCCUUCAAGUUCAUCACCUUUUCAGCCUCCAUUGUCUCUCGAGUCAUAUCUCGAAACCCUAAUCCAUUUUUCCUAAAUUUUGAGCUUGUGUGUGUGUUUUUAGUGUGUGUGGUGCUUAGAGAAGAAGAAGAAGAGUUGUGAAGGAGCAUUGAAUCAGAAAGAGCUUGUGGAUCUAGGGGUUUCUCAUCAUUUCUAGCUUGUUGAAGGUACUUCCAACUCGAAGAGGAAGGGCCCAGCCUGAUCGCACUGCAUCCACCUAUGAUUUUCCGCAUUAUGUAAUUUUGUGAAUUUGUACUCUGAUAAAAUGUUGCUAUGAUACACUUUUAAGUGUUUUGAUAUGAUUAUCGUAUAUUUUGAAUAAAUUUAAAAACAAAUAUUUUAUAUGCAUUUUUGGGUUGUUACAA